rnacentral:rRNA from 1 species
AUACGGAAGGUCCGGGCGUUAUCCGGAUUUAUUGGGUUUAAAGGGAGCGCAGGCGGAGAUGCAAGCGUGACGUCAAAUUUCGGGGCUCAACCCCGUCUCGCGUCGCGAACUGCGUCCCUUGGUUGCGGGAAGGGGAGGCGGAACUCGUGGUGUAGCGGUGAAAUGCAUAGAUAACACGAAGAACUCCGAUCGCGAAGGCAGCCUUCCGGCCCGUCAACGACGCUCAUGCUCGAAGGUGCGGGUAUCAAACAGGAUUAGAUACCCUGGUAGUCCGCACAGUAAACGAUGGACACCCGCGGUUUGGCCUGUAUGGCUGAGCCGCCAAGCGAAAGCGUUAAGUGUCCCACCUGGGGAGUACGCCGGCAACGGUGGAACUCAAAUGAAUUGACGGGG